rnacentral:rRNA from 1 species
GAUGAACGCUGGCGGCGUGCCUAACACAUGCAAGUCGAGCGUGAUUGUUAUGAGUGGAGACUUCGGUCAAAGCGAGUAACAUGAAAGCGGCGGACGGGUGAGUAACGCGUGGGCAACCUGCCCCAUACACGAGGAUAGCCACUGGAAACGGUGAUUAAUACUCGAUAAGACCACGACAUCGCAUGGUGACGUGGCCAAAGAUUUAUCGGUAUGGGAUGGGCCCGCGUCUGAUUAGCUAGUUGGUGAGGUAAAGGCUCACCAAGGCGACGAUCAGUAACCGACCUGAGAGGGCGGACGGUCACACUGGAACUGAGACACGGUCCAGACUCCUACGGGUGGCAGCAGUGGGGAAUAUUGCACAAUGGGCGCAAGCCUGAUGCAGCAACGCCGCGUGAGUGAAGAAGGCCUUCGGGUCGUAAAGCUCUGUCCUGUGGGACGAACAAAUGACGGUACCACAGGAGGAAGCCCCGGCUAACUACGUGCCAGCCGCCGCCGUAAAAC